CCUACGGGUGGCAGCAGUGAGGAAUAUUGGUCAAUGGCCGGGAGGCUGAACCAACCAAGUCGCGUGAGGGAAGACGGCCCUACGGGUUGUAAACCUCUUUUGUCAGGGAGCAAGGUGCAGGUCGGGACCUGCUGUGAGAGUACCUGAAGAAAAAGCAUCGGCUAACUCCGUGCCAGCAGCCGCGGUAAUACGGAGGAUGCGAGCGUUAUCCGGAUUUAUUGGGUUAAAAGGGUGCGCAGGCGGAGGCACAAGUCAGCGGUAAAAUCGCGGGGCUCAACCCCGCUCCGCCGUUGAAACUGUGUGCCUUGAGUGCGCGAAGGGUAGGCGGAAGGCGUGGUGUAGCGGUGAAAUGCAUAGAUAUCACGCAGAACUCCGAUCGCGAAGGCAGCCUACCGGCGCGCAACUGACGCUCAGGCACGAAAGCGUGGGUAUCGAACAGGAUUAGAUACCCCAGUAGUC
rnacentral:rRNA from 1 species